ACCUGGCUGGCUCAGUUGGUGGAGUGUAUGACUCUUGAUCUUGGGGUUGUGAGUUCCAGCCUCACAUUGGGUG
rnacentral:tRNA from 1 species